GAAAGACCUCAUUGACCUGUUAGCAGAUUAUAAUCAUUGGACAAAGCUGUUGGAUUCUUCAGGAUACUGCAGCUCUGUAGCUGUAGCAGAGACAGGCUCCUAUGAGUAUAGGAGCUCAUUGUCUCAUGGGGUUAGAGAGACAGCAUCUGGGCUCUAACUCUUGACUCUUUCUCUGUACUUUAAAUAUUUCCUUUCUCAGAAGAGCAAUGGCAACGUGAGCUUCUGGCUUGUAGCUGAAACCCUCAGAAGCCACAAGACAAGAUGCAGACAUUCUUUGCAAAAAAUUUACACUCCUGCUAGUACUGGACCUAAGAAGAAACUGGAAGGCUUACAGAAAGCACAAGUUUAUUCUCCCCUCAGGGGCAGCUGAAGAGAGAGUCUUUCAAGAGUCUUUCUCCAUCCCACAUGGUGAGGAACAGUCUGCUUUUGCUGAGAGUGGAAAUGCCUCUGUUGAAAUGAUCUCGUGGAAAUAGGAAGAUGCAAGAAGAAAAUGUUCAAGUAGUCUGUAAAACCUGCACACUGCUACAAACAGAAGGAAAGUUCACAAAAGAGAAUAAGAGUUGGGGGAUAGUGAUUGAUCUGUAUCAUAUGCUGUCCUCAUGUGCUUUCUUUUGGGAGAAUAGCUGCUGUCCUUUGCCAUUCCUGAGCUGGCAUUUUACUCACCAGUCUCUGGGCAAGGAUUCCAAGCCAAACACCACAUCCAGUGGUUUCUGUCUGGAGAGGAUAUGAGUCUUCCACAUUCAGCUGUAGUGAAGAAGAUUA
rnacentral:lncRNA from 1 species